UACAGAGGGUGCGAGCGUUGUCCGGAAUCACUGGGCGUAAAGGCGCGUAGGCGGCCUGAUAAGUAGGGGGUGAAAUCCUGCGGCUUAACCGCAGGGCUGCCUUCUAAACUGUCGGGCUCGAGCACAGUAGAGGCAGGUGGAAUUCCCGGUGUAGCGGUGGAAUGCGUAGAGAUCGGGAAGAACAUCAGUGGCGAAGGCGGCCUGCUGGGCUGUUGCUGACGCUGAGGCGCGACAGCGUGGGGAGCGAA
rnacentral:rRNA from 1 species